GAACUUGGUUGAUGGCACCAUAGC
rnacentral:siRNA from 1 species